rnacentral:lncRNA from 1 species
UAAAAUUAAAAUUAAUCCAUGCUGCCAGUUAAAACUCAGGGAAAUUAAUCUGUAUUUGGUUUGAGCCAUUUCGCAGGAUUUCUACAAGGCAAAACACAUUAUCCUGCAUGGGAUAUUCAAGAUUGAGGAUGGGAAGAGAAACCAGGAGAUUUUUAGCAGAAAAACUCCCAUUUUCCUGCAUGGAAUAUCCCAGACUGAAGAUGGGAAGGGAAAUUGGGAGUUUUUCUAUGAGGCAAACCCCAUUUUCCUGCAUGGAAUAUCCCAAAAUGAGGAAGGCAAGGGAAAUCAGGAUUUUAAGGGAAUAAGUGGGGUAAUGGGGGUGUUGCCCCCUUUGAGCAUCCUCAACCCAAAUAAAUCCCCAAAUGAGCCUCAGACAGUCCAGAUGAGGAGACCUCAGGAUGAAUCCUUUGCCCAGAGAUUUCCAGGGAUCCAGGAUCUGGGCAGGAAGUUGUUAACAUUUGGGAAUGAGGAGGUAUCUGAAUUCCCCUCGGUCAGAGCUCAUUUGCAUUCAUUAGGAGCCCGGGGUGAUUAACAGGGCCCUCCCCCCUCAGCUGCCCUGCAAGGUCCCUCUCUCCGCUGGAGCUCCAGGACCGAGGCCGAUCGGGUGACAGAGCAAAGAAUUCGCUCUGAAAGAAGAUUCAUCCCCAGGGUCCGGCACGGAGGCCUCGGAAGAGGCGGCUCCGUGGAUUUGGGAGGCUCCACUGCUCCGGGAUGCGUCCAGACUCUGCCAGUUCCUGCUGCCGCCCAUGGAGAGGGAGAUGGAGCUCCGCUGGGAAGGUGCUGGAGGGCCACACCUUUGGAGCCAUCCGGGAUGGUUUUGGGAAGGAGCUCCGGGAUGGUUUUGAUUCCCAGUUCUUCCAGCAGAAAAUCCACUCCAGCCCAGGAAUAAUUCACACCCAAACAGGUAGGGAGAGGCAUCCAGCAACAUUGAUUUCUCCAGGACUGGUUAAAUCCUGCAUGGAAGCCCUGUGGAAAACCUGGGAGAGAAGACAGAAGUCACCUCCUUUCCCUAACCUGAAAUAAAUAUAAACAAACAAAUCCUGGUGGUGCCCAUGCAGAAGCUGCUCCAAGGGAAUGUGAUGAUGACACCUGGAAAAAAAAAACACAAGGAUUUAGGGAUUAAGGUGGGGAAAGGCAUGGAGCAUAAUGGUUUUUAAUCAGCAAAGAGACCAAACUCAAGGUCUUUUAAGCAGAAAAUGUUUUUUAUUUUUUCACUUGGCACAGGCAUCAAAAAGUUAUUAAAAGGGCCUGGUUAAAUAUCUCAUUAAUGAAGAUGAACGAGGCCCCAGAUUUGUUUUUAAGCACUUCAAAGCUGUUUUUCUUCUGGCCUCCCAAAGUGUGAGUGUGUAGGGGGAUCUCAGUGCCUUCAAAUGUUCCUUUUUUCUGGAAUUUUACAGCAGCUUUAACCGAUUUCAGUGCUGGAGCUGCUGCUGCUGGUCGCCCUGGGA